rnacentral:rRNA from 1 species
AGAGAAUAGAUACCCUGGUAGUCCCAGCCGUAAGCGAUGCUCGCUAGGUGUCAGGCAUGGCGCGACCGUGUCUGGUGCCGCAGGGAAGCCGUGAAGCGAGCCACCUGGGAAGUACGGCCGCAAGGCUGAGACUUAAAGGAAUUGGCGGGGAGCACAAACAACGGUGGAGCCUGCGGUUUAAUUGGACUCAACGCCGGACAACUCACCGGGGCGGACAGCAAUAUGUAGGCCAGGCUGAAGACCUUGCCUGAAUCGCUGAGAGGAGGUGCAUGGCCGUCGCCAGUUCGUACUGUGAAGCAUCCUGUUAAGUCAGGCAACGAGCGAGACCCGUGCCCACUGUUACCAGCAUGUCCUCCGGGACGAUGGGUACUCUGUGGGGACCGCCGAUGUUAAAUCGGAGGAAGGUGCGGGCCACGGUAGGUCAGUAUGCCCCGAAUCUCCCGGGCUACACGCGGGCUACAAUGGAUGGGACAAUGGGUCCUCCCCUGAAAAGGGCUGGUAAUCUUACAAACCCAUUCGUAGUUCGGAUCGAGGG